rnacentral:rRNA from 1 species
UACGAAGGGGGCUAGCGUUGUUCGGAAUUACUGGGCGUAAAGCGCGCGUAGGCGGUGAUCUUUGUCAGAGGUGAAAUCCCGGGGCUCAACUCCGGAAUUGCCUUUGAAACGGGAUCGCUUGAGUCCGAGAGAGGAUGGCGGAAUUCCUAGUGUAGAGGUGAAAUUCGUAGAUAUUAGGAAGAACACCGGUGGCGAAGGCGGCCAUCUGGCUCGGUACUGACGCUCAGGCGCGAAAGCGUGGGGAGCAAGCAGG